GCGCAGCAUCAAGAGCGGCCGCCGCCUCGCGCGGUGGCCCGACAACCUGGAGUCGGACCUCCAAGGUGUCCAAACGAUGCGGUUCGAGGAGCAGGGGCUCCCCGAGCAAUCCAAGCGUCCGAA
rnacentral:ncRNA from 17 species